AAUGGCCGCAAGGCUGAUCCAGCCAUGCCGCGUGAAGGAUGAAGGUGCUAUGCAUUGUAAACUUCUUUUGUCCCGGAAUAAACCCCUGAUUUCUAUCGGGGCUGAAUGUACGGGAAGAAUAAGGGACGGCUAACUUCGUGCCAGCAGCCGCGGUAAUACGAAGGUCCCAAGCGUUAUCCGGAUUUAUUGGGUUUAAAGGGUGCGUAGGCGGGUUGUUAAGUCAGUGGUGAAAGCCUACAGCUCAACUGUAGAAUUGCCAUUGAUACUGACGAUCUUGAGUAUGGUUGAGGAGGGCGGAAUGUGUCAUGUAGCGGUGAAAUGCUUAGAUAUGACACAGAACACCGAUUGCGAAGGCAGCUCUCUAAGCCAAUACUGACGCUGAUGCACGAAAGCGUGGGGAGCAAA
rnacentral:rRNA from 1 species